ACAGUAAUACCUCUGAAUUAUUCUCUCUUCUUUUAAAUAAUAUUGUAGGAGUCAAUUCAUGUUCCUGAUCCUGUCAUUUCAAUAGCAAUGAAGCCUUCUAACAAGAAUGAUCUGGAAAAAUUUUCAAAAGGUAUUGGCAGGUUUACAAGAGAAGAUCCCACAUUUAAAGUCCACUUUGACACAGAAAGCAAAGAGACAGUUGUAUCUGGAAUGGGAGAAUUACACCUGGAACUCUAUGCUCAGAGGAUGGAAGGAGAAUACGGCUGUCCUUGUAUCACAGGAAAACCAAAAGUUGCUUUCAGGGAGACCAUUACUGCCCCUGUCCCGUUUGAGUUUACACAUAAAAAACAGUCAGGUGGUGCAGGUCAGUUUGGAAAAGUGAUAGGCGUUCUGGAGCCUCUGGACCCAGAGAACUACACUAAGUUGGAGUUUUCAGAUGAAACAUUCGGGGCAAAUAUUCCAAAGCAGUUUGUGCCUGCUGUAGAAAAGCUCUUACUGACGUUUGUGUAACACUAAAGUAAUCUGCCGAUGAGACAAAGCAAUAAUAGGGGUUUUUGGAUGCCUGCGAGAAGGGCCCUCUUUCUGGUCACAAGCUCUCUGGGCUCCGAUUUGUCCUGCAAGAUGGAGCACAUCACAUGGUUGAUUCCAAUGAAAUCUCUUUCAUCCGUGCAGGAGAAGGCGCGCUUAGACAAGCCUUGGCAAAUGCAACAUUAUGUGUCCUUGAGCCUAUUAUGUCUGUGGAGGUUAUAGCCCCAAAUGAAUUUCAGGGAUCGGUGAUUGCAGGAAUUAACCGGCGCCAUGGGGUAAUCACCGGACAAGAUGGAAUUGAGGACUAUUUCACGUUAUAUGCAGACGUCCCUCUAAAUGAUAUGUUUGGUUAUUCCACUGAACUUAGGUCAUGCACAGAGGGAAAGGGAGAAUACACAAUGGAGUACUGCAGAUAUCAGCCGUGUUCACCGUCCACACAAGAAGGCCUCGUUAAUAAGUAUUUGGAAGCUACAGGUCAACUUCCUGUAAAAAAGGAAAAGCCAAGAACUAACCUUUCUCACUUUAAGUUGACAAACUGAAUCUGCAAGGUUUAGAUACUUUAACGGAUUCCAGCGGAAUGGAUUCAAGCUGAAAUAAAUUUUAGAAGCCCUUCCCUGUUUUGUUUAGGAGCUUCUAUUAUAUUCAAAGAUAAUUCUAUGUAUAUCUCAACUCGAUUGGUUUUAUGGUUCAUUGAAAAACCUCAUAAAAUAUGAUUAUUACUGAAAUAUAUUUAAUAUUUAUCUAAGGGGAGAAGAGACUAAUUUCAGUUAUACUUCUGAGCUUAGAAUAUAUGUAAACUUCCAUUCCAAAAUUUUUAUCAUAAGAAUUUUCAACAUAUAGAAAAGCUGAAACAAACAGUAUAAAUAACAGCAUGUAUCUUCUAUCUAGACUCAACAACGAACAAUCCUGUUAACAAUUUGUUUAUCAGAUAGUAAUUUGUUUUGUCAUAUUUGCUUUAUCUGUUUGUCUAUCAUUUGCCUACCUAUCUCUUUAUUUAAAAAUUUUUUUUAAUUAUUGUUUUGCUGAAUACUUGAAAGUGAAUUGCAUAAAUCAUGAUGCUUCUUGGAGUGUCCUUUUUUUUUUUUGUGCUGAGGAAGAUUUGCCCUGAGCUAGCAUCCAUGCCAGUCUUCCUCUAUUUUGUAUGUGGAUUGCCACCACAGCAUGGCUGCUGACAAGUGAUGUAGGUCUGCACCCGGGAACUGAACCCAGGCCACCAGAGUGGAGCCACCAGACUUAACCGCUAGGUCACCGGGCUGGCCCUGGAGUGUCAUCUUUUAAUGAGCAGCCUUUUUUGUUCAAGUGGAUUCCAUGUGUUCUUAAUGGAGAAUGUUUUUCAGAUUCUUCAUUGGGAUAGUAAAAUGCUAGCUAAAUUUCUAGCUGUUUUAUAUAUAACCAACUGCUUCAAUUUGUGACUUGUCCAAAUUUAUAACUGCCUUCCUUGCAGACCUGUGAAACGAAGAACAGCCCCUUGCGCAUGCUCUUCUUGUCUCUGUUCUUCUGAAUGUCUCUGCGGCUCUAAAAAGAAAAUAGAGUUUAAAGAGUUGCUGACCAGUCAGUUUCAUUCACGUAGUAAAUUCUAGUUGAAUUUGAGUCUGUUGGAAUUUAUCAUAUAUUGUAUUCAUGGAGAGUGUGAAAGAACAAAUGUUAAGCUUUUUUUCCUAGAAUGAGGUGGACUUUCCCAGGUACUUUUACCAUGCUGUUCCGAAUUGCUUCAUCCAAAAAAAUCAUCUGAUGUGAUAGAUAACAUCCUAGUCCUUUCUCUUGUGGACAGUAGAAAUAAAAUAACUUUUAAAUUCC